rnacentral:tRNA from 1 species
GUAGAUAUAGUUUAGCUAAAACAUUAGAUUGUGAUUCUAAAAACAGAGGUUAAAAUCCCCUUAUCCACC